rnacentral:lncRNA from 1 species
AGAAAGACAGUGAGCCCCUUGAGUAGCACAAAGCAAGAAGGAUAAGAGAUCAAGUUGUAAUUGUCCAAAAGUGGUGUGUGCCGUAUGUAUGGGAUGUUUUUCAUGUCAUCGUUUAGGGAAAGCCAGCCUAAUUUGUACCACACAGGUAAGAAAGAAAGAAAGAAAUUCUGGUGCCACAAAGUAGUAGGAGUAUCUCUCUCUCUCUCUCUCUCUAUCUAUAACUUGUCUUUUUCUUUGAAAUUUGAGCUGCGAUGCGGGUCCUCAAUUUUCUAAACAUUUUCAGCACCAUCCAUACCCAUGCCUUGCCAUCACUUCUCAACACAACUCAUGAAUCUCCCCUAUACCUCAUGUUAUUCCUCACUUGGUCAGUGCCAUGUCGGGUGAUUUUCAGAUACCCCCCUCUUGAUGUGAAUUCUGAUCAGCAUUCAGAUCCAACACUUUGAUUAGGUUAGUUAGGAGUAUUUAUCAACAAGGUGUAGACUAGCUGCUAGGGAGUUCCUCCUCUUCCCAAUAAACUGAAUAAA